rnacentral:rRNA from 1 species
UAUGGCAACACCUAACUCUCUGCAAGUCUCACAUGGUUGCCCACUGCAGCUAAGCAGUGCUGCGUCUGGUCAGUAACUGGAUGGGAGACCACAUGGGAAAGUUAGGUUGCUGCCGGAA